GUAUGCAUCAAAUGCCAGAUGACUGGAGCAACACUAGGUUGUUUAAACAAAGGCUGUCCAGAACAAUAUCACUUCAUUUGUGCCACUGACACAGGUUGUGAAAUGGAUGAAAACAACUUUUCACUGUUAUGUCCUAAACACAAGAAAACACCCAAGAUAAGUGAAGAAAGUUAAACUACCAUCGUCGUGCUACUACUUACAAAAGAACUUAUGCACCAUUUUUACAUAUAUAUAUAUGUAAUGUUAACCAUGGUGUUGUGUUUGAUGUGUUGUACACAGACAGGCUUGUCAAGUGGUUACAACAUCUUUGUCUGUAUGAUGUUGUAGUUCUUUCAACUAACUUAGAGCUAAUUAACUCAGUCUUCAAAAAUACUGUGUACAGAUUAAUAUCAGCAAAAUAAAUGCAUGUUUGACUGUAUGA